GAUGAACGCUAGCGACAGGCCUAACACAUGCAAGUCGAGGGGUAGCAGGAUGUAGCAAUACAUCGCUGACGACCGGCGCACGGGUGAGUAACGCGUAUGCAACCUACCUUCUACAGGGGGAUAGCCCGGAGAAAUCCGGAUUAAUACCCCAUAAAACAGGGACUCCGCAUGGAGAUUUGUUAAAGAUUAAUCGGUAGAAGAUGGGCAUGCGUUCCAUUAGCCAGUUGGUGAGGUAACGGCUCACCAAAGCAACGAUGGAUAGGGGAACUGAGAGGUUUAUCCCCCACACUGGAACUGAGACACGGACCAGACUCCUACGGGAGGCAGCAGUGAGGAAUAUUGGUCAGUGGGCGCGAGCCUGAACCAGCCAAGUCGCGUGAAGGAAGACUGCCUUAUGGGUUGUAAACUUCUUUUAUAUGAGAAUAAAAAGAGUUACGUGUAACUUAUUGCAGGUAUCAUAUGAAUAAGCAUCGGCUAACUCCGUGCCAGCAGCCGCCGUAA
rnacentral:rRNA from 1 species